AAGGCCUUCGGGUCGUAAAGCUCUGUCGGAGGGGACGAAAAGCAGAUCGGUUAACAGCCGGUUUGUCUGACGGUACCCUUAAAGGAAGCACCGGCUAACUUCGUGC
rnacentral:rRNA from 1 species